AUGAAGGAGCGGUACUUGUACUGGGAGAAGGUGCAACCGGUCCAAGGCGAAUGCGCCUAUAAUCCCAACUUGUCCAUACAACCUCUUAUGAGGAACUGGACAGAAGGUGCAGCCACUAGGAGAGAUAGGUUCGACUUUGAUAAUGGGCGCGGCCGUGGUAACGUAAGGAGGUUGUUGGAGAAGUUGAACAAAGCAGGUGUCAUGUACAAGCCGGAUGCUGCCGUGCCAUCCGCGGAGAAUGAUCCGGACGAAGUGGAUUCGUUCGAGAAUGCUCUAUUUUCGAACAAUAAUGUGCCGGAGGUUGUGGCAGAUGAGUUGACGCCGGAAAUAAUUGAUGCUGCUAUUUCAUUUGUCGAGUUAGCUGCUAGCACUGAGAAGAAGAAGAACAAAAAAAUUUACUACAGUGAAGGCCGUGGCAUAACUCUGACUUCCGAAAGGAUUCUACCGGUUAUUGAUGCUUAUAUGGGACAUUUGGAGCUGCGUGUUGGUCAUGAUCAUUACCUCUGUCCAGUGUGGAGGUCCAAAUUCCUUGUAGGUCGUGCUAUCACAAAUGACGAUCCAUUGCCAUCGAGCUGCAACAUGGAUAGUGCUCUGACCAAAGCUGGGGCAGUUAAUAGAGUCACGAAAGAGUAUACUGUGCGUGAUAAGGUACGUAAUACGUAUAUCGCGUUGAAUAUCGACAAUAGCCACUUGAUGACCGUGGUCAUGCACAUGAUCAAGAAAGAAUUCCAAGCUCUCGAUUCGCUCUAUCCUCUGGACCUGACUGAGAGGACUGUUAAAGCACUGCGAAUGGCUAUAGCACACGAUAUGCGUCAGGCAAAUCUUAUUACACCAGGGAAAUAUCCGGACGAUGAUAUCACUUCUGAGUAUGUUGAAUGGGUUGACGGGGAGUGGGAUAGCAAAGCAAAGUCAAUCAUUAAGUAUCUUGCCAUGAAGAACAAGAAACUGGAGACUAAGGUUACAGAAUAUGAAGCUGAAAUUAAAAGGAAUGAGAAAGAAAAGAGGGUAAUGGUUAAGAUGCACAAGGAGAUAUUGCUCUAUAGGGAUAGGAUUUUAGGAUUUGGAGGUCUUCUGUAUCUUGGCCUGCUUGCCAUUAUGAUUGCUGUCAUAGUUAGCAAGUAG
rnacentral:rRNA from 1 species